rnacentral:rRNA from 1 species
AUUGAACGCUGGCGGCAGGCCUAACACAUGCAAGUCGAGCGGAUGAAGGGAACUUGCUCCUGGAUUCAGCUGCGGACGGGUGAGUAAUGCCUAGGAAGCUGCCUGGUAUUGGGGGAUAACGUCCGUUAACGGGCGCUAAUACCGCAUACGUCCUGAGGGAGAAAGUGGGGGAUCUUCGGACCUCGCGCUACCAGAUGAGCCUAGGUCGGAUUAGCUAGUUGGUUGGGUAAAGGCUUACCAAGGCGACGAUCCGUAACUGGUCUGAGAGGAUGAUCAGUCACACUGGAACUGAGACACGGUCCAGACUCCUACGGGAGGCAGCAGUGGGGAAUAUUGCACAAUGGGCGAAAGCCUGAUGGAGCCAUGCCGCGUGUGUGAAGAAGGUCUUCGGAUCGUAAAGCACUGUAAGUUGGGAGGAAGAGAAGUAAGUUAAUCUCUUGAUAUCUUGACGUUACCAACAGAAUAAGCCACGGCUAACUUCGUG